rnacentral:rRNA from 1 species
CCUACGGGAGGCUGCAGUGAGGAAUAUUGGUCAAUGGGCGCAAGCCUGAACCAGCCAAGUCGCGUGAGGGAAGACUGCCCUAUGGGUUGUAAACCUCUUUUGUCAGGGAGCAACGCCGGCUACGUGUAGCCGGACUGAGAGUCCCUGAAGAAAAAGCAUCGGCUAACUCCGUGCCAGCAGCCGCGGUAAUACGGAGGAUGCGAGCGUUAUCCGGAUUUAUGGGGUUUAAAGGGUGCGUAGGCUGUGAUGUAAGUCAGCGGGUAAAUGUCCCCGAUCAACGGGGUGAAGUGCCAUUGAUACUGCCUUGCUGGAAUGCGGAUGCGGUGGGAGGAAUGUGUGGUGUAGCGGUGAAAUGCAUAGAUAUCACACAGAACACCGAUUGCGAAGGCAUCUUACGAAUCCGCGAUUGACGCUGAUGCACGAAAGCGUGGGUAUCAAACAGGAUUAGAUACCCCUGUAGUC